GUCGAGAAUAAUUCACAAUGGGGGAAACCCUGAUGGUGCAACGCCGCGUGGAGGAUGAAGGUCUUCGGAUUGUAAACUCCUGUCAUCUGGGAGUAAGACCUGACGGUGAAUAGCCGGCAGGGUUGAUAGUACCAGAAGAGGAAGGGACGGCUAACUUCGUGCCAGCAGCCGCGGUAAUACGAAGGUCCCAAGCGUUGUUCGGAAUCACUGGGCGUAAAGGGAGCGUAGGCGGCGUGGUAAGUCAGAUGUGAAAUCCCGGGGCUCAACCCCGGAACUGCAUCCGAUACUGCCAUGCUUGAGGGUUGGAGAGGUAGCUGGAAUUCUCGGUGUAGCAGUGAAAUGCGUGGAUAUCGAGAGGAACACUCGUGGCGAAGGCGAGCUACUGGACAACAUCUGACGCUGAGGCUCGAAGGCCAGGGGAGCAAAAGGGAUUAGAAACCCUAGUAGUCC
rnacentral:rRNA from 1 species